GAUGAACGCUGGCGGCGUGCUUAACACAUGCAAGUCGAACGAAGCACUUUACUUGAUCUUUUCGGAGUGAUUGUUUUGUGACUGAGUGGCGGACGGGUGAGUAACGCGUGGGUAACCUGCCUCACACAGGGGGAUAACAGUUGGAAACGGCUGCUAAUACCGCAUAAGCGCACAGUACCGCAUGGUACGGUGUGAAAAACUCCGGUAGUGUGAGAUGGACCCGCGUCUGAUUAGCUAGUUGGCAGGGCAGCGGCCUACCAAGGCGACGAUCAGUAGCCGACCUGAGAGGGUGACCGGCCACAUUGGGACUGAGACACGGCCCAAACUCCUACGGGAGGCAGCAGUGGGGAAUAUUGCACAAUGGGGGAAACCCUGAUGCAGCGACGCCGCGUGAGCGAAGAAGUAUUUCGGUAUGUAAAGCUCUAUCAGCAGGGAAGAAGCGUGAGUGACGGUACCUGCAGAAGAAGCACCGGCUAACUACGUGCCAGCCGCCGCAGUAA
rnacentral:rRNA from 1 species